rnacentral:rRNA from 1 species
GAUGAACGCUGGCGGCGUGCCUAAUACAUGCAAGUCGAGCGAACAGACGAGGAGCUUGCUCCUUUGACGUUAGCGGCGGACGGGUGAGUAACACGUGGGUAACCUACCUAUAAGACUGGGAUAACUUCGGGAAACCGGAGCUAAUACCGGAUAAUAUUUCGAACCGCAUGGUUCGAUAGUGAAAGAUGGCUUUGCUAUCACUUAUAGAUGGACCUGCGCCGUAUUAGCUAGUUGGUAAGGUAACGGCUUACCAAGGCAACGAUACGUAGCCGACCUGAGAGGGUGAUGGGCGACGCUGGAACGGAGACACGGUCAAGACUCCAAAGGAAGGCAGCAGUAGGGAAUCUACCGCAAUGGGCGAAAGCCUGACGGAGCAACGCCGCGUGAGUGAUGAAGGUCUUCGGAUCGUAAAACUCUGUUAUUAGGGAAGAAUAGACGUGUAAGUAACUGUGCACGUCUUGACGGUACCUAAUCAGAAAGCCACGGCUAACUACGUG